AGAGUUUGAUCCUGGCUCAGGAUGAACGCUGGCGGCGUGCCUAACACAUGCAAGUCGAACGGACUUAUAACGAAACCUAGUGAAUUAUAAGUUAGUGGCGGACGGGUGAGUAACGCGUGGAAAACCUGCCGUAUACUGGGGGAUAACACUUAGAAAUAGGUGCUAAUACCGCAUAAGCGCACAGCUUCGCAUGAAGCAGUGUGAAAAACUCCGGUGGUAUACGAUGGUUCCGCGUCUGAUUAGCUAGUUGGUGAGGGUAAAAGCCCACCAAGGCGACGAUCAGUAGCCGGCCUGAGAGGGUGAACGGCCACAUUGGGACUGAGACACGGCCCAGACUCCUACGGGAGGCAGCAGUGGGGGAUAUUGCACAAUGGGGGAAACCCUGAUGCAGCGACGCCGCGUGAGUGAAGAAGUAUUUCGGUACGUAAAGCUCUAUCAGCAGGGAAGAAUAAUGACGGUACCUGACUAAGAAGCCCCGGCUAACUACGUGCCAGCAGCCGCGGUAAUACGUAGGGGGCAAGCGUUAUCCGGAUUUACUGGGUGUAAAGGGAGCGUAGACGGCUGUGCAAGUCUGAAGUGAAAUGCCGGGGCUCAACCCCGGAACUGCUUUGGAAACUGUACAGCUAGAGUGCAGGAGGGGUGAGCGGAAUUCCUAGUGUAGCGGUGAAAUGCGUAGAUAUUAGGAGGAACACCGGUGGCGAAGGCGGCUCACUGGACUGUAACUGACGUUGAGGCUCGAAAGCGUGGGGAGCAAACAGAAGGAGAUACCCUGGUAGUCCACGCCGUAAACGACCCUUAUUAGGUGUCGGGGGGCCAAGGCCCUUCGGUGCCGGCGCCAACCCAUUAAAUAAUCCCCCUGGGGGAGUACGUUGCCAAGAAAGAAACUCAAAGGGAAUUGACGGGGGACCCGCACAAGCGGUGGAGCAUGUGGUUUAAUCGGAAGCAACGAGAAGAACCUUACCCGGCCUUGACAUCCCGAUGAAUGUACAGUAAUGUGUACAGGACUUCGGUACAUCGGAGACAGGUGGUGCAUGGUUGUCGUCAGCUCGUGUCGUGAGAUGUUGGGUUAAGUCCCGCAACGAGCGCAACCCCUGCCCUCAGUAGCCAGCAGGUAAAGCUGGGAACUCUGAGGGGACUGCCCGGGAUAACCGGGAGGAAGGCGGGGAUGACGUCAAAUCAUCAUGCCCCUUAUGGCCGGGGCUACACACGUGCUACAAUGGCGGAAACAGAGGGAAGCAGCCCCGUGAGGGUGAGCGAACCCCAAAAAUACCGUCUCAGUUCGGAUUGUAGUCUGCAACCCGACUACAUGAAGCCGGAAUCGCUAGUAAUCGCGAAUCAGAAUGUCGCGGUGAAUACGUUCCCGGGUCUUGCACUCACCGCCCGUCAC
rnacentral:rRNA from 1 species